rnacentral:rRNA from 1 species
AGUGAACGCUGGCGGUAGGCCUAACACAUGCAAGUCGAACGGCAGCACAGGAGAGCUUGCUCUCUGGGUGGCGAGUGGCGGACGGGUGAGGAAUACAUCGGAAUCUACUCUGUCGUGGGGGAUAACGUAGGGAAACUUACGCUAAUAUCGCAUACGACCUACGGGUGAAAGCAGGGGAUCUUCGGACCUUGCGCGAUUGAAUGAGCCGAUGUCGGAUUAGCUAGUUGGCGGGGUAAAGGCCCACCAAGGCGACGAUCCGUAGCUGGUCUGAGAGGAUGAUCGGCCAAACUGGAGCUGAGCCACGGUCCAGACACCUACGGGAGGCAGCAGUGGGGAAUAUUGGACAAUGGGCGCAAGCCUGAUCCAGCCAUACCGCGUGGGUGAAGAAGGCCUUCGGGUUGUAAAGCCCUUUUGUUGGGAAAGAAAUCCAUCUGGUUAAUACCCGGGUGGGAUGACGGUACCCAAAGAAUAAGCACCGGCUAACUUCGUGCCAGCCGCCGCAGUAA